GACGAAGGAUGCAAGCGUUAUCCGGAUUCAUUGGGUUUAAAGGGUGCGUAGGCGGAUUGGUAAGUCAGUGGUGAAAUCUUUGGGCUUAACCCAGAAACUGCCAUUGAUACUGCUGAUCUAGAGUACAGUUGCCGUUGGCGGAAUAUGACAUGUAGUGGUGAAAUACUUAGAUAUGUCAUAGAACACCGAUUGCGAAGGCAGCUAACGAAGCUGUAACUGACGCUGAGGCUCGAAAGUGCGGGGAUCAAACAGG
rnacentral:rRNA from 1 species